GACAGUGUGGUGUAGUGGUUUGAGUGUUAGACUAGGACUUUAGAGACCAGGGUUUAAUUCCUGGCUCAGCCA